rnacentral:rRNA from 1 species
AGUGAACGCUGGCGGUAGGCCUAACACAUGCAAGUCGAACGGCAGCACAGUAAGAGCUUGCUCUUACGGGUGGCGAGUGGCGGACGGGUGAGGAAUACAUCGGAAUCUACUUUUUCGUGAGGGAUAACGUAGGGAAACUUACGCUAAUACCGCAUACGACCUACGGGUGAAAGCAGGGGAUCUUCGGACCUUGCGCGAUUGAAUGAGCCGAUGUCGGAUUAGCUAGUUGGCGGGGUAAAGGCCCACCAAGGCGACGAUCCGUAGCUGGUCUGAGAGGAUGAUCAGCCACACUGGAACUGAGACACGGUCCAGACUCCUACGGGAGGCAGCAGUGGGGAAUAUUGGACAAUGGGCGCAAGCCUGAUCCAGUCAUACCGCGUGGGUGAAGAAGGCCUUCGGGUUGUAAAGCCCUUUUGUUGGGAAAGAAAAGCAGCAGGUUAAUACCCCGCUGUUCUGACGGUACCCAAAGAAUAAGCACCGGCUAACUUCGUG